rnacentral:rRNA from 1 species
AACCUGGUUGAUCCUGCCAGUAGUCAUAUGCUUGUCUUAAAGACUAAGCCAUGCAUGUCUAAGUAUAAGUUAUAUACAGCGAAACUGCGAAUGGCUCAUUAAAACAGUUAUAGUUUAUUCGAUUAUUUUCUUCUACAUGGAUAACCGUAGUAAUUCUAGAGCUAAUACAUGCUGUCAAACCUGACUUUUCGGAAGGGUUGUAUUUAUUAGAUAUUAAACUAACCCUGGCAACAGGAUAGUGAUGAUUCAUAAUAACUGAGCGGAUCGCGGCCUCGCCGCGACGAAUCGUUCAAGUUUCUGCCCUAUCAGCUUUCGAUGGUAGUGUAUUGGACUACCAUGGCGAUCACGGGUAACGGGGAAUUAGGGUUCGAUUCCGGAGAGGGAGCCUGAGAAAUGGCUACCACAUCUAAGGAAGGCAGCAGGCGCGUAAAUUACCCAAUCCUAAUUCAGGGAGGUAGUGACAAGAAAUAACAACUCGGGCCCCACUUGGGGUUGCGAGAUUGCAAUGAGAACAAUUUAAACCACUUAUCGAGUAACAAUUGGAGGGCAAGUCUGGUGCCAGCAGCCGCGGUAAUUCCAGCUCCAAUAGCGUAUAUUAAAGUUGUUGCAGUUAAAAAGCUCGUAGUUGAAUUUCUGGCCGGCGCUGUUCACGGCUCUCGCAGUCGGUUCAGGAGCCUGGUCAUCCUUAUGGGAAGCUAGCACGUCCUUCAGUGGUCGGCUAGUGGAUCAUACACUUUACUUUGAAAAAAUUAGAGUGUUUCAGGCAGGCAAUUGCUUGUAUACUGCAGCAUGAAAUAAUGAAAUAGGACUUUGACCUAUUUGUUGGUUUCUUGAGGUCAAAGUAAUGAUUAAUAGGGACAGUUGGGGGCAUCCGUAUUUAAUUGUCAGAGGUGAAUUCUUGGUAUUUAUUAAAGACGAACUUAUGCGAAAGCAUUUGCCCAGGAUGUUUUCAUUAUCAGACGAAAGUUAGGGGAUCAAGACGAUCAGAUACCGUC